rnacentral:rRNA from 1 species
AUGGAUGCCGGCGACGAGCCCUCCGUCACCCGCUGGUCCUUCCAGGACUUCGAGCGCUACUACGACGCGGGCCUCGGCAUCUGCCGCCAGCCCAAGGGCGACGGCGACGACGACGACAACGCGCCGCCCGGAUCGGGCUCCGCCGACACCGCUCACGGCCACGCCAACGGCGGCGCCGACCUGUCCGUCUUCGAGCAGUUCCAGCGGAUGGAUAGAAAUGUCGAGUUGCGCAAUGGGGCAAUGGAUGCCGGGCCACCGCAGAAAUCCCUGCUUCCUUCUUUUGAAUCUGCAGAAACACGCAACUUAGCCGAGACAUUGUUGAGGGAUAUCAUUCGUGGGAGUCCAGAUGUCAAAUGGGAAAGCAUUAAAGGUUUGGAAACUGCGAAGCGACUUCUUAAGGAGGCAGUUGUCAUGCCUAUAAAGUAUCCCAAGUACUUCACAGGUCUGUUAUCACCCUGGAAAGGUAUAUUGCUAUUUGGUCCACCAGGAACAGGAAAGACAAUGCUGGCAAAAGCUGUGGCUACCGAGUGCAAAACAACUUUUUUCAACAUUUCAGCCUCAUCAAUUGUCAGCAAAUGGCGUGGUGACUCGGAGAAACUAGUAAAAGUCUUAUUUGAGCUUGCAAGGCAUCAUGCACCAUCUACCAUUUUCCUUGAUGAGAUUGAUGCUAUCAUUAGCCAACGUGGUGAAGCUCGUAGUGAACAUGAAGCCAGUCGGCGAUUGAAGACUGAACUAUUAAUACAGAUGGAUGGAUUGACUAAGACAGAUGAGCUUGUUUUUGUUCUGGCGGCCACAAAUUUACCUUGGGAACUAGACGCAGCAAUGUUACGCCGAUUGGAAAAACGUAUUCUUGUGCCCUUACCAGAGGCAGAAGCUAGGCAUGCUAUGUUUGAAGAGUUCCUUCCAUCGACUCCAGAUACAAUGGAGAUUCCAUAUGAUGUUCUUGUGGAGAACACCGAAGGAUAUUCCGGCUCUGAUAUACGCCUUGUCUGUAAGGAGGCAGCAAUGCAACCACUUAGACGGUUAAUGGCAGUUCUAGAAGGCAGACAAGAAGAAAUGCCAGAGGAUGAGUUGCCUGAAGUUGGCCCAAUAGCGGCAGAAGAUAUCGAACUUGCCUUGAGGAAUACACGGCCGUCUGCUCAUCUCCAUGCACAUAGAUAUGAGAAAUUCAAUCAAGAUUAUGGCAGCCAUGUCAUUGGCUAA